UUUAAUGUAAUGUUUAUUUGGAACUGUCACAGUUGACUCAAAUUUGAUUGGCAAAUUAUACCGUUGAAUUAAAUUUGUAGUUAAUUGUAGUUUUUAGUUGUUUAAUGUAGUUUAAUGUAAUGUUUAUUUGGAACUGUCAGUGUUGACUCAAAUUUGAUUGGCAAAUUAUACUAUUGAAUCAAAUUUGUAGUUAAUUGAGUUUUUUGUAGUUUAAUGUAGUUUCAU
rnacentral:lncRNA from 1 species